UACGUAGGGUGCGAGCGUUGUCCGGAAUUAUUGGGCGUAAAGGGCUCGUAGGCGGUUUGUCGCGUCGGGGAGUGAAAACACCGGGCUUAACUCGGUGCUUGCUUUCGAUACGGGGCAGACUAGAGGUAUGCAGGGGAGAACGGAAUUCCUGGUGUAGCGGUGAAAUGCGCAGAUAUCAGGAGGAACACCGGUGGCGAAGGCGGUUCUCUGGGCAUUACCUGACGCUGAGGAGCGAAAGUGUGGGGAGCGAACAGG
rnacentral:rRNA from 1 species